GCCGGGCGUGGUGAUGCACGCCUGUCAUCCCAGCAGCUCAGGAGGCUGAGGCAGGGGGAUUGCAAGUUCAAAGCCAGCUUCAGCAAUUUAGCAAGACCCUAAGCAACUCAGUGAGACCCUGUCCCUA
rnacentral:sRNA from 1 species